GCAAAAGUAACUGAUGCCCUAAGCUUUUCACAUAAAAUGAAGAUCUAACUUUGGCUACUGACCACUGGAGUUGUGCAGUCCAGAGUGUGAACCAAGGUACUUGGAGCAGAAAACAUGUUCCCUGAAGAGGAAAAACCCUAGUGAGUUUCUGUGUUGAAUAAUUCCUAGAACAACUUCAAAAAGUGUGAAUAUCUUGAAAACAAUGUGCUGAGUUGACAGGCUGAACAAUAC
rnacentral:lncRNA from 11 species